rnacentral:lncRNA from 1 species
GGGAUGUAUUUGGUUUGCAAUUAAAAUUAGAAUCAAAAUUGAAAUCAAACGAGUUAGAAUAGGAAUCAUAAUAGUUAUAUAUAUCUCUCGAUAUAUUUGGUUUGCAAUCAUAAUUGGAAUAGGAUUUGAAUACUAGAAAAUAAUAAUGAUUAGAUUUGAAGAGAUUAGAACAUUGAUCAUUUGUUGCUGUAGAACUUUGAGAUCAAACUAAGAUAAGUAAGGUUAAGAA